rnacentral:rRNA from 1 species
CCUACGGGUGGCAGCAGGGGGGAAUAUUGGGCAAUGGGCGCAAGCCUGACCCAGCAACGCCGCGUGAAGGAAGAAGGCUGUCGGGUUGUAAACGUCUUGUCUCAGGGACGAAGCAAGUGACGGUACCGGAGGAAUAAGCCACGGCUAACUACGGGCCAGCAGCCGCGGUAAGACGUAGGUGGCAAGCGUUCUGCGGAUUUACUGGGUGUAAAGGGCGUGUAGGCGGGACUGCAAGUCAGAGGGGAAAACCACGGGCUCAACCUGUGGCCUGCAUUGGAAACGGUAGUUCUUGAGUACUGGAGAGGCAGCCGGUAUUCCUCGUGUCGCGGUGCACUGCGUAGCUCUUCGGAG